rnacentral:rRNA from 1 species
AUUGAACGCUGGCGGCAGGCCUAACACAUGCAAGUCGAGCGGAUGAAGGGAGCUUGCUCCCUGAUUUAGCGGCGGACGGGUGAGUAAUGCCUAGGAAUCUGCCUGGUAGUGGGGGACAACGUUUCGAAAGGAACGCUAAUACCGCAUACGUCCUACGGGAGAAAGUGGGGGAUCUUCGGACCUCACGCUAUCAGAUGAGCCUAGGUCGGAUUAGCUAGUUGGUGAGGUAAAGGCUCACCAAGGCGACGAUCCGUAACUGGUCUGAGAGGAUGAUCAGUCACACUGGAACUGAUACACGGUCCAGACUCCUACGGGAGGCAGCAGUGGGGAAUAUUGGACAAUGGGCGAAAGCCUGAUCCAGCCAUGCCGCGUGUGUGAAGAAGGUCUUCGGAUUGUAAAGCACUUUAAGUUGGGAGGAAGGGCAGUAAGUUAAUACCUUGCUGUUUUGACGUUACCAACAGAAUAAGCACCGGCUAACUUCGUGCCAGCCGCCGCGGUAAAAC